rnacentral:rRNA from 1 species
CUGGUUGAUCCUGCCAGUAGUCAUAUGCUUUGUUCAAGGGCUAAGCCAUGCAAGUCUCAGCGCACAUGGUUCAACAGUGGGUCUGUGAAUGGCUCCUUACAUCAGCAGUCAUCUCCGCGAUAGAGUGUGGUUGGCACCACCUCGCCCAUCGGUGCCCAGUUGGACAUCCUCCAAAACCUUGUGGCUAAUACACGUUCGCUCAGGUCGGCCACGGUACACACUUUGGGAUCCAGGCGGUCCCCGCCCGGCCCCGCAACGGGUCGUGGUGGCGGAUUGCACCCAGCCGGUAUGAAGACCAGCGUCCUUCAACGGACAGUGUGUUGUGGUUGACCCAGGCUGGUCCCUCCUGGGACGGUUGCGCUGGCAGAGUUUCGGUGGCCCCGUCAAAACGGGCCACAGCCUCGGCUUGAUCGCACGAACUUCUGACCUAUCAGCUUGGACUGUGGUGUCGUGGACCACAGUGGCCUUGACGGGUAACGGAGAAUCAGGGUUCGAUUCCGGAGAGGGAGCCUGAGAGACGGCUACCACUACCAAGGUGGGCAGCAGGCGCGCAAAUUGCCCAAUGCAAACAAAGUCUGCGAGGCAGCGACGAACUGCAGCAAUUCCACUGGUCUUCUUCACCAGUGGAACUUGGAAUGGAUGCAAUCCAAAGACAGUGAUGAGUAACAACUGGAGGGAAAGUCUGGUGCCAGCAGCCGCGGUAAUUCCAGCUCCAAGGGCGUAUACUAACAUUGCUGCAGUUAAAACACUUGUAGUCUGCCACUGGGUCGCAGGUCCGCCGGGUGGCCGCGUCGGCGUGGGCGCCGUGCCCCCGUCCCUUGGGUCCCCCGCCUUCGGGUGGGGCGUGCCCUCGGGGCGGUGGGUUCCGGCCCCGCGUCGGGGUGGGUAAAACCCCCGGUGGUAUGCUCCUGCACCCGCCAAGUUUGCUCGCGAUGGUGAGAUCUGCUCCUGCCGAAAGCCCCCUUCACUGGGGGUCUCAGCGGGUUUCGCCCCUAUAGCAGGUGUGUGACCACCACAGGCCGACCCCUGCUCCCGUGCCCGGUACCCUCUUCAGCCGCCCGUCCACCUCCGGAGUCCACCAUCACAGACACCGUGGAAAACUCAGUGUGCUCCAAGCGUCCAACCUGAUCGGGUGGAUGGUCCUCCAGGGCAUGUCAAAGCACCGACCAAGUGGGGCAUUGGAGUUGUGCUAGCCUUGGCGCCCGCUUUGGGCAAUGUGGUGCAUGCACCGGCGCCCCGUCCGCGACCGGUCCGUCCGUGCGUAGUGGCCCCCUCGGGGGUCCCGCGGCGUGCGGGUGGGCCGAGCGGCACGCGGGCCGUCGGCCGCGCGCAUCGACCGAAUCCGAUGGGACCACUCAGGGUGAAAGGUACUACCGCGCCAGAGGUGAAAUUCUUAGACCGCCGCAAGACCCACGGCGGCGAAGGCGCUCUGCAAGGCUGUGUUCGUCGAUCAAGAAUGAGAGUCCGGGGAGCAAAGAUGAUCAGACACCGUCGUAGUCCGGCACUGUCAACCGUGCCAGCUCGGCCUCGGCAGGGAAAUUCCAACGACCCUGCCGGGGCCACGCCCCCUCCAACGAGAAAUCCAAGCCCAUGGGUUCUGGGGGGAGUACUGUCGCAAGGCUGAAACUUAAAGGAAUUGACGGAAUGGCACCACAAGGCGUGGAGUAUGCGGCUUAAUUUGACUCAACACGGGGAAUGUUACCAGGUCAGGACACCGCCGGGAUGGACAGACUGAGAGCUCUUUCUUGAUUCGGUGGACGGUGGUGCAUGGCCGCUCCUGAUUGGUGGAGUGAUUUGUCUGGUUGAUUCCGAUAACGAGUGAGACAUCUGCCUCCCACUAGCCUCGGGCUCGCAUUUGGUAGGGUCAUGGCCCGCCCGGUGGCGGCCGCGGACCCCCGCGAGGGCGAGGGGGCGCGUUCCCUCGGGGGCGCGUCCCGGAACCCCCGUGGGGCCGCGGACACGUGCCGCGGGUCGCCCGAGAGCCCCGAGUUUCGCUUCUCUGAGGUGCUGUGUACGCUACCAAGUGCAUGCAUGCUAGAGCCAACAGCAGGUCUGUGAUGCUCCCAGAUGUCCUGGGCCGCACGCGCACUACAUUGAUUCAGUGAAGGUGUCACCUCCCGCUGUGGACCUCGUGCCCAGCCCUGCCCGGAAGUGGGUGGGAAACCCUGCAAGUCUGAGUCGUACUGGGGAUAGAUGAUUGCAACUGUCUGCCUUGAACGUGGAAUGCCUAGUAGGCGUGAGUCAUCAGCUCACACCGAUUGUGUCCCUGCCAUUUGUACACACCGCCCGUCGUUGCUACCGAUGGCGGCCGAAUAGAACCCUCCGGAGGCCGGGCCCGUCUCGUCGUGGCCCAGCCAAAAUUGGGUGAUGUUUG